UGCGUAGGCGGGAAAUUAAGUCAGUGGUGAAAUCCUGCAGCUUAACUGUAGAACUGCCAUUGAUACUGGUUUCCUUGAGUGUAGUUGAAGUGGGCGGAAUGUGUAUUGUAGCGGUGAAAUGCUUAGAUAUUACACAGAACACCUAUUGCGAAGGCAGCUCACUAAACUAAUACUGACGCUGAGGCACGAAAGCGUGGGGAGCAAACAGGAUUAGAUACCCUGGUAGUCC
rnacentral:rRNA from 1 species